CCUACGGGCGGCUGCAGUGGGGAAUAUUGCGCAAUGGGCGAAAGCCUGACGCAGCGACGCCGCGUGAGGGAUGAAGGUCUUCGGAUCGUAAACCUCCGUUAGCAGGGAAGAACGGUCACUGUGCUAAUCAGCAGUGAAUUGACGGUACCUGCAAAGGAAGCACCGGCUAACUCCGUGCCAGCAGCCGCGGUAAUAAGGGGGGUGCGUGCGUUAAUCGUAAUUACUGGGCGUAAAGCGCUCGUAGGCGGUAUGUCAAGUCAAGGGUGAAAUCCCCGCGCUCAACGUGGGAACUGCCUUUGAAACUGGCAAACUGGAGUGUGUGAGAGGAUAGUGGAAUUCCAGGUGUAGGAGUGAAAUCCAUAGAUAUCUGGAGGAACAUCGGUGGCGAAGGCGACUAUCUGGCACAUAACUGACGCUGAGGAGCGAAAGCGUGGGUAGCAAACAGGAUUAGAUACCCCGGUAGUC
rnacentral:rRNA from 1 species